GGGGACGUGGUGGAACUUGGUAUACACGUACGCUCGAGGUGCGUAUGCCGCAAGGCGUGAGAGUUCAAAUCUCUCCGUCCCCA
rnacentral:tRNA from 1 species